GCCAUUUUUAGCCCAUAUUUUUUUUAGAUAAUUAACAAAACAAUCAAACACAAGGGGCUAUUUAUAAAAGUUUCCUUAACUUUACAUUAAAUUAUAAAAUAUACUGAAGUCACAUGUAUCUAUGUACCUGAGCUCGCAUGUAUCUGAUACUAUGUAUCUAGCAUUGUACAUCUAAGAUUGUGUAUGUAGCACAUAUCUACAUGUAUCUGUGCAUAAAUCAUAAAGAUACAUGAAACCAACAACAACCACCAUCCUUCCUUUUUCGGCUAGUUCAGAUCUGUGUUAUUUGGCUACCACCACUUUCCCUAUUUUUUUUGGCAACCAUACUUUCUUUAUUUUUUUCGGUGAAUUUAGACAACCACUUCACCACUCUCCACCUUUUUUCUCCAAGCAUCUGCCAGAUCUACCUCUCCCUCGUCCAAGCACCAACUCUACUUCGGCGAGCAACCACACCCAAUCUCCACGUAUAUGUCAGAUCUAUCUUCAAUCUUCACGCAUUGAUGGUGAACUAUUGAAAUCUGUUAUCUUCUCCGAUCCAUACCACCACUACUACGAGUUCCAAGCUCAGAUGAUAUCCACAACUUUAUCUCAGCCCCAAUCUUACGGUGCCACUGCUCCGACGAGUACCAUCAACCAGAGAUACACAAUAAAAAUUUUGGGUGUAUUUGUGUAUCUCAGAUAUAAUCAAAAUUUGUAUUGUGUAUUUGAGCAAUUACUCGGUAUAUUUUAUAAUUAGGUAUACAACCUCCUAUAUUUUUGAUAUUUUUCUUUUUUUUUUUUGUUUUUUUCGCUAGCUACCUCAACUCCACCUUCUCCGAUCGCCUCCUCAUUUUUUAGAUCGUCACUAGCAGUCGUUACCUCUUUCGUAUCACCAUCACUACUGCCUCUACCUUCAUCUUUUCUAAUUGAAUCGUCCUCGCCAUCGAUGUCACCACCACUUCCUUCUUCUUGAGAUUGCCAUCGAUGUCACCACCACUUCCUUCUUCUUGAGAUUAAACAACUAUCUUUUUUUUUUCAGAUUCAAUUAUCAUUGACCACCACCUUUUUCUACUCUUCUAACUGAACCAUAGUAGUUGUUGUUGUCGCUGCCACCACCAUCACUACCUCCUUGCUCUUCAAAUUCGGCCAUAACCCCCAUCUUCAUUAGAUUCAGUCAAAGCCACCGCCUUCUUCUCCUUUUUUCUUUUAGAUUGGCUUUAUGCGUCGAUCGAUGCAAAGUAGUGUAUGUUUUAAUCAAGAAUAUUUUUAGUGGAGAUCUACUCUUAUCCUAAUUAAGUAGAUUGCUUUUUUGGAUAGGUCUAUCACUUCAUCAUCCUUCUUCUAUUUUGAUUUAUUCAUCGUUGUUGUCGUCGCUAUCAACACCUCGUCCUCUUAAUCCUCUAUUUUUUUUAAAUAAAAUAAAAUUUGGACUUUUUAUUAAGAAAAUGAGAUAAGUCUGUACAACAUAGGCUCAAGUGAGCCCAUAAUUGAGAAGAAAGAAAAAAAGACUCAGUCCAUAAUCAUAUCAGGCUGAAAUAAAAACUUAAGGACACUAUAAGAAUUCCUAAUUUGAGCUCUUUUUCUUUUCAUUUUUCAAUAUCGCCGCUGAGAGCAAUCUUUAAUCGAGUGUUCUGUUACUUGUUAUGCGGAUCAUUAGUCUUUUUGGAGGUGAAUCUGAUGAUAAGGAUGUUAUUUUUAGCUAGCAAAGUUGUGCUUUACCUUUUUAUUCUUUCUUCAUUUAAUAACUAUUCUCCUCACCUUCCUCCGAUGUUCAUGUUAAUGUGUUGUCCGAUGGAGAAAGUAGAAUCCAAGGUUGGAUUGAUAGAGAUGUUGAGUCUUGUUCACUGAAUCUGAAAAAACCUGUAAGUACCUGAGCUCUCUUGACUCCUUAUUUGCUUUAUUUUCUCAUGCUUUGACCUUUUUCUCAGCUGAAAUAGUGGCCAUCACCAUCAUUUCAUUCAUCUUCUCUUUUAGAUCUGGUCAUCACCGCCACCCCAUCUGUCUUAGUCUUUUUUUUUUAUCUAGAUCAUCAUCAUUGUUGUUGUUGUUUCCACCACCUCCUCAUCCUUCUUUUCUAUCUGGAGCAUCACCAUCAUUUUUGGUGUUUUCACCACCACUCCUUUUUUUUUUUUUUUGCAAAUUUGAUUAUCACCAUCUCUUCUUUUCAAAUUUGGUCAUUAUCAUCACCUCUUUGUUCUUGAAAUAUAUUCAACCAUAAAUUUUUUUUUUAGAUACUCUCGCUGAUAUCACCUUUUCUUUAUUGACCUCAUUAGAAUAACCUCUUUAUUUUUUUUCAAAUUGGAUAACAUUAUAAUUUGGGAAAUAUUAUAAAUAUCUCAAUUUUUCUUCAGAUCCAAGCAACAUUAUAAUCACAUUUUUACCGUAUUUAGGCGAUAUCACCACUAACUUCUUCUUAUUCUUUUCUGAUCUAACUAUUACUAUCAUGACCACUGUCACCUUUGUUUAAUAUUUCUUUUUUAGAUCCGACUUUAUCCACUUACUUUUUCUUGACGAGGCUAAGGUACACAUUUAUUUCAAGUUUGUGCUUUGUCAAAUUUUAGUAUAAUUUUAAAUAUCGAUUUCACAAAAACUGAAAUCACCUAGAUUAAAUAUUGUAUCAUUUUAAUUAUUAUUUGAGAGCAUAAAAUUAAUAAAAGAUCAGUUUGGAACUAUAUAUUAUUUAGAGUAAAACAAAUUAGUUUUUGUAUUUAAAACAGUUAGUAACCAUCGAUUUUCCUUGAUAUGUUAUUACAUUAAUUGUCAGUCUUUGCAUAUAUUUCUCUAAAGAAUAAUUAUUUUUUAAUUUUUAUAUAAUUACAUUUUGCUCAAUAGAAAUAAAUAAAUAAAUAAAUAAAUAAUCAACAUAUCUAUGAAGUUAUGAUAAAUAAUUAAGUUAAAACUAGCCUCGAUUGAAUCAAAAUAUUUUCUUUUUGAAAUUGUGUGUAAAGACCUCUUGGGAUUAAUUUUUAAAUCAAUAAACUUAUUUAAGUCAAUUCUUUUGCCGUUUAGAAUUAGAACUAAAAGAAAUAAAAUAAAGACUCAUCAAAUAAAUAAACUUAUUUGAGUCAAUUCCUUUAUGAGAAUUAAAAUUAAAAAAUAAAUAAAUUAUAAAUUAUUUAAAUUAAUAAACUUACUUGAGUCAAUUUCUUAAUAAUGAAAAUUCGGACUGAAUUAAACAAGAUUUACGAUUUGAAAUAAUAAAUAACCAAACUUUACUCUCUUUUCUUUUUGAUAACUAAUUGGUUGUAUUAGUCACCAGAACCUUUAUGGAGUUGUCGAGGCAGUUACCACGACUAACUUUUAUAAAAGUCCAAUAUAUUAACAAAUUGACUUUUGACCUAAGUCAAAAGUUAUAAAUUAAAAUUUCUAAUUCAUAAUUUAUUUUUAUUAUUUUAGCUUAAAAUUUAGUGUUUAUAAGUAUUUUUUUUUAUUUUACUCAAAUAUUAUAAAAAUAUUUAAAACAGCUAUUUCAACUUAAAAACAAUUAAAAUAUUUCUUGCUAUUGCAGCUCUGUUAUCCACAAUUGUAUGUUGAUCAAAUUGAGGCCACCACCUGACAUUGAUAAACAAACUCUACCCAACUUUUCUUUAACUGAGAUUUAGUUUUCUCUAUUAUUUUACUCAGUAUUUAUUAUGUAUUAAUUUUACUUUGUGAGAAUUAUGAAAUAAGUUUAAAAUAAUUUAAGAGAGAAAAUACAUAGGUGUGACUAUAAUAUAUACUAAUUGAAGUAAAACUAUUGUUCUAUCACAAUAUGGAGAUGUAGUAUAUAAAUAAAGCAUUUUAAACGAAAUAUAUAUUAAAAGUGAGAUAAUAUUAUAAAUAUAUCAAGUUUUAUUAGCUAUUUUAUUUUAAUAAGGGAACCAAGAUAAAUUCUUGUCUUCCAAUUGCACAUUGAAGCCUCAAUUUAUGGAAGAAUUAAAAUGUACUACUGUUCAUGAUCAUCAUUCCCCACAAUUACAUAUAUGAAUUUUAUAUAUGCAACUAUGAAUCUAUUCAUUUCAAUUCUCAAAUGUGUGUAUUUCAUAUAGUUGGCAUGUAUGAAAUUCGGUUUGAGAUUCCCUCCAGUAACAAGUUUUAAAUACGUAAUAAUAAUGUAAUUAAUGAUUUUAUAAAGAUUUGAUUUCAAAAACAUAAAAAGUUAUUACAUAUAAAAAAAAUAAUCAUACCAUAAAUAUGGUUAAAAUUUAUGCGUUUUUCUUGAUCUUUGACAGCAAGGGAAAGAGAUAUUGCAUGGCAAAUGCAAAAUUGAUGAUCCAUCAAUCAAUUGAAACUUCUGGUGGUAAACUCUAGGCUAAAUGCAUAUACAGGACCCUUAACUAUUUCGCUUUUUUCGUAUAGGCACCUCAAUUAAGACAGAUACCUAUUGAACACUUUACUCCUUCACAAAACGUGGCAAUAUUUGAGCACAAUCGCUGACGUGGUGCUGACGUGCGCGUGGCAUGUGUAAUACACUCUCCAUUAGGAGAGUGAGAAGCCAUAAUUUAUUAAAUAGGAGAGAGAGAUCGAGAAAAGAAGACAAAAAGAGACGAAGUGUGACUGUUUCCACCGGAAGUUCCCCGGAUUAACACCGGAAAAACAUCCGGUUGUUGUUGUUAUUGUUUUCCGGUGAUUUAACGCUGGGGAACGUUGUUGGUCGCCCGAAUUCGUCCAAAUCUGAUCGUUUCUGCUCAACACAAUUAACCGCCGGAAAAUCAUAUUGUUGCAGUGUUGGAAAAACAAAAUUAAAAAAUAAAAUAAAAAAAGCAUUCAAUGUAAUUUCAGUUUAUGCUUCUCUCUCUUUCUCCCUCCGAUUCUCCCCUUUUCUCUCUUGCUUUCUCACCUUUUCUCUAUCUCUGUUCACUGUGCGCGUGUGAAUCUGGUGAGGUUAGUGUGCGUGUGUGUUCUCGUGAAGGUGAAGUAUCAGAUGUGCGUGUGAGCAUGUCAAUUUGUUGCUGUGAUGUGUAGUCUAUUUCAGUGAAAAAUAAUAUACGAACACUGCAAAAAUAAUAUAUGAAGAAGACAAAAAAAUAAUUUUUUUUUUCAAAAA